rnacentral:piRNA from 1 species
UAACAUGUGUUUGGUGGAAGGGCGAUGU